rnacentral:rRNA from 1 species
ACCUCGGGGCGCAGCAGUGGGGGAUAUUGCACAAUGGGGGGAACCCUGAUGCAGCGGCGCCGCGUGGGUGAAGAAGCGCCUCGGCGCGUAAAGCCCUGUCAGCAGGGAAGAAAAUGACGGUACCUGAAGAAGAAGCCCCGGCUAACUACGUGCCAGCAGCCGCGGUAAUACGUAGGGGGCAAGCGUUAUCCGGAUUUACUGGGUGUAAAGGGGGCGUAGGCGGGAAUGCAAGUUGAAUGUUUAAACUAUGGGCUCAACCCAUAGUCGCGUUCAAAACUGCAUUUCUUGAGUGGAGUAGAGGCAGG